UACGAAGGGGACUAGCGUUGUUCGGAAUUACUGGGCGUAAAGCGCACGUAGGCGGAUCUGUAAGUCAGGGGUGAAAUCCCGGGGCUCAACCUCGGAACUGCCUUUGAUACUGCAAAUCUCGAGUCCGAUAGAGGUGGGUGGAAUUCCUAGUGUAGAGGUGAAAUUCGUAGAUAUUAGGAAGAACACCGGUGGCGAAGGCGGCCCACUGGAUCGGUACUGACGCUGAGGUGCGAAAGCGUGGGGAGCAAACAGG
rnacentral:rRNA from 1 species